GAUGAACGCUGGCGGCGUGCCUAAUACAUGCAAGUCGAGCGAACGGACGAGAAGCUUGCUUCUCUGAUGUUAGCGGCGGACGGGUGAGUAACACGUGGAUAACCUACCUAUAAGACUGGGAUAACUUCGGGAAACCGGAGCUAAUACCGGAUAAUAUUUUGAACCGCAUGGUUCAAAAGUGAAAGACGGUCUUGCUGUCACUUAUAGAUGGAUCCGCGCUGCAUUAGCUAGUUGGUAAGGUAACGGCUUACCAAGGCAACGAUGCAUAGCCGACCUGAGAGGGUGAUCGGCCACACUGGAACUGAGACACGGUCCAGACUCCUACGGGAGGCAGCAGUAGGGAAUCUUCCGCAAUGGGCGAAAGCCUGACGGAGCAACGCCGCGUGAGUGAUGAAGGUCUUCGGAUCGUAAAACUCUGUUAUUAGGGAAGAACAUAUGUGUAAGUAACUGUGCACAUCUUGACGGUACCUAAUCAGAAAGCCACGGCUAACUACGUGCCAGCAGCCGCGGUAAUACGUAGGUGGCAAGCGUUAUCCGGAAUUAUUGGGCGUAAAGCGCGCGUAGGCGGUUUUUUAAGUCUGAUGUGAAAGCCCACGGCUCAACCGUGGAGGGUCAUUGGAAACCGGAAAACUUGAGUGCAGAAGAGGAAAGUGGAAUUCCAUGUGUAGCGGUGAAAUGCGCAGAGAUAUGGAGGAACACCAGUGGCGAAGGCGACUUUCUGGUCUGUAACUGACGCUGAUGUGCGAAAGCGUGGGGAUCAAACAGGAUUAGAUACCCUGGUAGUCCACGCCGUAAACGAUGAGUGCUAAGUGUUAGGGGGUUUCCGCCCCUUAGUGCUGCAGCUAACGCAUUAAGCACUCCGCCUGGGGAGUACGACCGCAAGGUUGAAACUCAAAGGAAUUGACGGGGACCCGCACAAGCGGUGGAGCAUGUGGUUUAAUUCGAAGCAACGCGAAGAACCUUACCAAAUCUUGACAUCCUUUGACAACUCUAGAGAUAGAGCCUUCCCCUUCGGGGGACAAAGUGACAGGUGGUGCAUGGUUGUCGUCAGCUCGUGUCGUGAGAUGUUGGGUUAAGUCCCGCAACGAGCGCAACCCUUAAGCUUAGUUGCCAUCAUUAAGUUGGGCACUCUAAGUUGACUGCCGGUGACAAACCGGAGGAAGGUGGGGAUGACGUCAAACCAUCAUGCCCCUUAUGAUUUGGGCUACACACGUGCUACAAUGGACAAUACAAAGGGCAGCGAAACCGCGAGGUCAAGCAAAUCCCAUAAAGUUGUUCUCAGUUCGGAUUGUAGUCUGCAACUCGACUACAUGAAGCUGGAAUCGCUAGUAAUCGUAGAUCAGCAUGCUACGGUGAAUACGUUCCCGGGUCU
rnacentral:rRNA from 1 species